rnacentral:rRNA from 1 species
UACGGGGGGGCAAGCGUUGUUCGGAAUUACUGGCGUAAAGGGCGCGUAGGCGGCCGGGUUGGUCGUGGGUGAAAUCCCCCAGCUUAACUGGGGAAGGACCUACGAUACUGCCUGGCUCGAGGGAGGAAGGGCGGUCGGAACUGUCGGUGGAGCGGUGAAAUGCGUUGAUAUCGACAGGAACGCCGGUGGCGAAAGCGGACCGCUGGCCCUCUUCUGACGCUGAGGCGCGAAAGCCAGGGAGCGAACGGG